GAUGAACGCUGGCGGCGUGCUUAACACAUGCAAGUCGAACGAAAUGGUUCUUCAAAGUUCUUCGGGAUAGAGAAUAAAUUACUUAGUGGCGGACGGGUGAGUAACGCGUGGGUAACCUGCCUCACACAGGAGGAUAACAGUUGGAAACGACUGCUCAUACCGCGUAAGACCACAGCACCACAUGGUGCAGGGGUAAGAGAUUGAUCGGUGUGAGAUGGACCUGCGUCGGAUUAGAUAGUUGGUGGGGUAGAAGCAUAGCAAGGCAACGAUCAGUAGCCGACAGGGGAGGGGGAUAGGUUAGAACUGGAAUGAGACCCGGACCAAAAUCGGACGGGAGGCAGGAGUGGGGAAUACAAGACAAGGGGGCAAACCGCGAUCAAGCAACGCCGGGUAAGUGAAGAAGUAGGUCGGUAUGCAAAGUUCUAUCAGCAGGGAAGAAAAUGACGGUACCGGACAAAGAAGCCCCGGCUAACUACGUG
rnacentral:rRNA from 1 species